GAACCCUUGGCACAGUGGUAGCGCGUGAGAUUCCAGUUCCAUCUGCGACACGUAAGCAGAUCUCGUGGUUUCCUCAAGGUCGUCCGUUCAAUCCGGGCAGGGUUCA